rnacentral:rRNA from 1 species
CUACGGGGGGCAGCAGUGGGGAAUAUUGCACAAUGGGCGCAAGCCUGAUGCAGCCAUGCCGCGUGUGUGAAGAAGGCCUUCGGGUUGUAAAGCACUUUCAGUUGGGAGGAAAGGUUAGUCGCUAAUAUCGGCUAUCUGUGACGUUACCAACAGAAGAAGCACCGGCUAACUCCGUGCCAGCAGCCGCGGUAAUACGGAGGGUGCGAGCGUUAAUCGGAAUUACUGGGCGUAAAGCGUACGCAGGCGGUUUGUUAAGCUAGAUGUGAAAGCCCCGGGCUCAACCUGGGAACUGCAUUUAGAACUGGCAAACUAGAGUGUGAUAGAGGGUGGUAGAAUUUCAGGUGUAGCGGUGAAAUGCGUAGAGAUCUGAAGGAAUACCGAUGGCGAAGGCAGCCACCUGGGUCAACACUGACGCUCAUGUACGAAAGCGUGGGGAGCAAACAGGAUUAGAUACCCGAGUAGUC